rnacentral:rRNA from 1 species
ACUCCUGCGGGAGGCAGCAGUGGGGAAUAUUGGACAAUGGGCGCAAGCCUGAUCCAGCCAUGCCGCGUGAGUGAUGAAGGCCCUAGGGUUGUAAAGCUCUUUCACCGGUGAAGAUAAUGACGGUAACCGGAGAAGAAGCCCCGGCUAACUUCGUGCCAGCAGCCGCGGUAAUACGAAGGGGGCUAGCGUUGUUCGGAUUUACUGGGCGUAAAGCGCACGUAGGCGGACUAUUAAGUCAGGGGUGAAAUCCCGGGGCUCAACCCCGGAACUGCCUUUGAUACUGGUAGUCUUGAGUUCGAGAGAGGUGAGUGGAAUUCCGAGUGUAGAGGGGAAAUUCGUAGAUAUUCGGAGGAACACCAGUGGCGAAGGCGGCUCACUGGCUCGAUACUGACGCUGAGGUGCGAAAGCGUGGGGAGCAAACAGGAUUAGAAACCCCUGUAGUCCC